CGCCCCCCCGCGCCACCCGUCACGCACGAGCCUGGGCUGCUGCAGUCCGGAUCCUCCCGCCGGGCUCCCUCCGGGCUUCCUGGGCUUCUCCCGUUCUGCCAACCGCCCCUCGGCCUCGAUGUAGUGCCCGGCUGCGGCACUUACCGUGUCUGCCGCCCAACCGCCUCGAUUAACCUUGGGAAAUGGAUAUAUAGCAUUCUUUGGCUUGAGUUUUUAAAGAACCACUGCAUAUUGCCAUGCUCUUCAAGAAAAAACUUGACAGAAACAUCUCCAUACUGGCAAAGGACAGAUCACAACUGAGUCUUCAGAAGGUGCCUCAUGGAAUCCCUCGCUGAAGCCAUCUGCUGCUGGCACUUCAUGGUGGCAUCUCAUUUGGAAGUUUAAAGAGGAAAGCUUUAAUACUUGUUAAGUAGCAGAAGGGUGUUUUUGAGCAUUGUGGAAUCCCACCAAGUUCCCAGUGCAGACAUCUCCUAGCCAUCUGUUUCAAGUAUUGCAGGUAUUGCAGGUGGGGUUUGUUUCCAAAAUACUCUCCUUCCUUCAGGCUUGCAGUGAGAAUGUGACCUACCUGACCUGGAGUAGCAAAGGGCACUAAUAUUUGUAUAAAAGCCUGUUCAGCUGUAGCAAAAUUUAAGUGACUGUUAAAAAAGCCCUUCUGGUGACAAAUACCUAGUUCCAAAGACACUGCAUCAGAAACAGAAUAAACAAGUUUCAAAAUACCUGAAAAGAUAUCCCUGUUAAUUUACUUGGAUAUAGAAUAUUGUUUCUCUUCCUUCUACUAGCUCUGUUGACCUAAGCUGAUUUCUUGCGCCUGUCGUGGUGCAUAGGCUCGCUCUUCCUUGCUUUAAUGCCUUUAUCUCCUUUUCUUCCUUUUCUCUCUAAUGCUAAUCCAUCUUGUCAUUUGUAUUACCUAUCUUUACAUUCUCGUCAUCUCUUUGCAGUUGCUAACAUUCAGUUUUACUAAGACAGAAACCAGAAGAAUAAUGAUCAAAGUCAAACUUAUGCAGGUAAAUCUAUCUUUAUAAUAUCUUCAUUUUGUGAUAGUCUCAAUACACUUAAGGAAGAGUUUAGUACCCAUUACGUUUGUGCUGCAUUUAAAUAUUUUGGCCAUUACUCCUCUGUCUUCAAGGAAGAAGCUACUCUCUUAACUAGCACUGCUUUAGCUCUGUGCUUAUAUUGUAAUUUAUUUGGAACUAUGACAAUGCCUUCCUACUUUAUUUACAAAGUUUCUGCAUAUCAUACUUGAUUGAAUGUCUGAUUGUUAGCAAAUGCCUGUCUAUUUUGACACAGUUUCCUAGCUGGGUCCAUCAAAAAGAUACAGUUUGCUGGUGGCCUAAGUAUGCGCAGUCUCUGAGAUUUGAGUAUAUUUUUGAGGACAAAUUGGUAAGUUUUUACCAAUACUUUGGUAAGAAUAUCUAGGAAAACCAAAGUGGAAGUCGUGCUGUGAUACCAAAGAAACUUCUCUUUCUGAAGGCUUGUAGGGUGAAUUGAUAGGAUCUUGGUCAAUAAUGUGCUGCCACUGACAUUCAGUUCCAAAUGGCAAGCUAAGAGCAGCUAGUCAAGCUGAAUUUCCAUUCCCAUAGUAAUACAGGAAGGCACAUCGGAAAACAUUGUAGCAUUGGAAAGGUCUUCUAGUUUCUAUGCACUAUGUAAAGUGGAAGGCUUGCACUGGUUUUGGUGGGGAAAGAGUUAAUUUCUCAGUGGUAGCUGGUAUAGGGCUGUGCUUUGGCUCUGUGCUGGAAAUUGUGUUGAUAACAUAGUGACGCUUUUGUGUCUGCCGAGUAGUGCUCACAUAGCAUCAAGGCCUUUUCUACCUCACGCACCACCUUGCAAUUCCUUGGAUUUGCUUUGCUUAUGUGCACACCUUUUGCUUUGCUUACUAUAAUGCCUUUAUCUCACCCCCCCCAAGUGCUCUCACUGUUACCCUUCAAAUUCUCUUCCCCAUCCUACCUGAGGCAGUGAGCAAGUGGCUGUGUGGGGCUUAGUUACCAGCUUGAGUGAAGAUACAACAAAGGCAAACAUUUAGGGGAACGUGCCGAUCAAGAAACUCUUCCCAUCUUAAAAUGUCUUACUCGUAACUCUUCCUUGCACACUAGUAUUUAUAUCAGAAAGGGUGUCUGAUUUCCUUAGGGAGGAUUAAAAGAGAUAUGGAGGUUGGGAGGAAAGAGAAGGUUGUGGUUCAUCGCAUCAUUGGGGUUCUUGCUUUUACCUGGCAUUUGUAGAGAGACUUUGCCACAGACAUCAUUAAUUUGAACAAAGUUCCUGUGUUGAAGAUCAUUAUUUUUAGAUUAGACGAAUCCAUAAUCCAAUCUCCUAUUUUAUUUCUGCUUGUAUUUUCCCCUGUAUGGCUCAGGUACUGCUGAAAAGAAAGGUGGCAAAAAUGGUAAUGGUUGUUCUUAUGACAAAAAUGCUGAUCUCCUUUUUUUAAAUACUCCAUCCUUUUUUAACCCAGACUUUUGAUGGUUUGGUUAGAUUCUGUGUUUUUUAUGUACUCUGUAUGUUUUGGCUGUACUCUCUCUACCAAUCUGUCCACAUGUAAUCAAUGCUAAGAUUCAAAGAAAAAUGUAAAAAACCCAUAACUCUUGAUCCCCAAGAAGAAGCAAUGAUGUUGGGAGUCAUUUCACUUAGCUUGUUCCAUCAGAAAGACAGAGUUACUCUGUCUGAAGGAGGUUCCUGUUCUGGGAAAUUAAGACAAGAAAGCACCUCAAGAUGGAAUUUCAACCCAACUCAAGAAAGAUUAAACUGGCAAGAUGAAAUUCCUUACAGUUAUUGAAAUCAGUUACCACCACAUUUCUUGAUGAAGUGAUGGGUGAAAAAACGACAAUGAUCCAGAGAAACCACAGAAACAGAAAGCAGGAAGGCAAAUAAAUGCCAAAUGAUGUACUAGAUCCUGUGAAGUUACAUUAUCAAGUUAAAAAAGUAAAUUUAUGGUUACAUUUGUAACAGACUGCCAGAAAGAAAGAGGCAAGACUCAGAAUCUCACCUGUAUGCUUCUUGUCAAAUUUGUGACAUGGUAUGUACUAUUUGGGAUAAGCAUGGUAGUACACAUCAUUGCAUUCAUCCCUCUUUGUAGGGCAAAGAAAUGAAUUCCUACUAUCAGAGUGGCUAAAUUACUGUUCAUGAAUAUUCUGUCUGACUAACUGUAAAACUUUAUAAAGCUUUACAUUUCUGUCUUUGGAUAGUGCUGCAAUCUAUUUAUGAAAUCUAUGCUAAUUCUUUAGCUUCUCGCUUUUCAGGAAUGAUCUUUAGGAAUCCUGUCUGAUUGCAUUUAUGCUAUUUUCAAGAUGAAGGUUAUCCUAGCACCUAAAGCCUCCAAGAAAUCCAUUGAAGAAAUGCUUUGGGGAAACAUCUCUAUCCUUUCCUCAGAAUGUAUUCAUAUUUUCAGACUGUCUCAAAGAGCAGCUGUCAACACAACCCCCUCAUCCACUACUGUUCUGCUAGUGCUGACAAGCUGCCCAGAUACAUCCUUGCUCUACACUACAUAGGAGGUGUGCGUACCUCUGGAACAUCCUUGGCUGAGGCCAUGGAGACCAAUGGGCUCUGAAAGAUGCCUUCUGGCUGAACGAUGAAUUACUUAUGUCUGUAGCAUCUGAAUACAUCCUGAACAUGGGUAGUUUGUGAACAUAACAAAAUACUGCAAAUGCUGACGCUAAAAUUGUAAUAGCAGUAGUUGCAUAGGUGAGCUGGCUUCAAACUACAAGGAGAACCUCACAAGGCAAGUAACCACAUUGCUGUUUCCCUGGCCCCUGCUGGAAGAAGUGACUUUGGCUAUUCUUCCUUUUCUCCUGCUAAUGUAAAGAAGCACUUUUUGCUCCUCUCACUUCAGGCUAGAAUGCAGCAGAAAUUCUGUUCUGCCUCAGUUUCUUAAAGCCAAAAUCUCUCUUGUUUUCCUUUUUAUUCCAAAAUAGCAAAGUAAUAAUCAGGCAACAAUUUUCCUACAAUAAUUAAGAUUGGUGCAUUUUCCACACUGCCAAAUAUAUUCUAGAAUUCUCUUGUGAGUGGGAUGAAGUCUAUAUCUCAAAGUACUUAGGUGAAUUUCAGUUUGCUGCAUGUGACUAGUUUUUAACAACACUUGUGUCAAGUAUUAUACUCUUUCCUUGGCCAUGUUUUUACUGCCUCUAUUAAGGGAUAAGCUGUGUGACAUGACUCCUACAUUCAAAUCCAUUUCACUUCUGGAAGUGGGAAUUGCAUAGCCCUUCACAGGAUCAAACCAGAGAUUUUGGUAACAGAGGGACUGAUCUUGCUGACAGCGAAUGUAACAGUGUAAAUGGUGUAUAAAUCUCCUGCUCUCUGGAAAAUAUAAUCUAAUACAUGGUCUAAAUAUAUCUAAAUACUCAUCAGAAAUAGCUUCUGGAAAAUGUUUAAUUAAUAAUAAACUUUUCAAAUGUAGAAGUGAGAAGAAAAUUAUUUUGCCCAAUUCUGUUGAACAAUUUAGGCUGACAAAAGCAGUCAGUCAGUCUAAAAAGCAUGACUUCACGUGUCUGUAAUAAACUGUAAUAUUCUUUUUUAUUAAAAGUAGCAGGUUGUAUUUCUGCCCAGCAAUUCCUGAUGAUUGAUCACUAAUUCCACUGGUGUCUUGUUAUAGUAAGAACAUAAUGCUCUCACCUAAGAUGGAACUAUAUUUUUAAGUAUUCAGGGAAAAAAUCAAAUGCAGAUUUAUUUUCAGACAUGUUACUUGAUCAAGAACAAAGGAGAUGAAUAUUUAUUAUUUUGUAUUUCUUGGAUCUUAAUUCUGUUGGAUGCAACCCAAGAUUAAAAAAAAAUGGAACUCUUGUUCUUAUUGUUUAUAAGAUGCUUAGAGGAUAUAUGUGUUUUAUCUAGAUUUAGUCCUAGAAAAGUUUGAGGUAUCACUCCAUUCCAUCACCAUUUAAUGCUCUUUGUAAUACGCUGUCUUUUAUUGUCACUAAAUAGAAAAGAGAGGAGGAGGGACAAGCCAUGUAGGAGCUUAUCCCUGAAAUAAUCACUUUAAAAGUAGUCAACAUUGUCCCUCUCUGCACAUCUCACCUGGCAGCAUCCAAGGGCAAUAACUUUUCCUCAGGUGAAGACACAGUUUUUGUCUGCGGUGAAGAUACAGUAUCUGUUGAUCGAAGUUCGUAAGAGCAUUGAAUCCCAUAAUACUCUCCUAAACAUAUCCCAAGAAAAAAAACAACACUGAAGUUUACUAUACUGACAGCAGCGUUUAGGAAAGAGUGACUGAUUUCAGAUUUACCAGAUUUAUAGCAUAUUUCCUUUAUUGCUCUUUCCUCUUCAAGAUCUGCAUCAGUCCUAGGUACCCAGUUAGAAACAGCUGUAGGAAAUAUUUUCACAAGAUUACUAAACAGCUUUAAAAAGACCUUCAACAAUUCUCAAUAAUCAAAUACCGCAAUGAA